AUUGUUGGUGAGUGUUGAGUAUGUGAGGAGGUCGACGUGGUGAGGCUGGCGGCUGUCUUGGUCUCACUCCACGGCGGCAGCGGCAGAGUCAUGGCUGAUCUCCGCGUAUCUCUGCCAUCCUGCCUCCAUCACCCUCCUCCUUCAUCGCCUCCACCGGUUCCAUAUUGGAAAAUGAAGUGGUUUGGGUGUGAUGAACUUCUGUCGUCUACAAGCAUGUUGCCUAUGGAAUGAAUUGGAUAAGAAAAUCUUGUACUGCUGUUAACUGUUAACCUCAAGGCCUGUUUUGAAAGCAACACUGCUGCAACUUUGAUGCCUAGUGGAAGAAAUGGAUGGAUUAUCUCUGAAGUUUGUACAAGAGCUCGCAUAAUUAUGCAGAUGUCUUGAAAGUUCCUACAAUAUCGUAUUGGCACGACUUGAAAAUGAUUCUUGGCUUGAUUGAUGUAGUUAAACGUCUUUGAUCUAAGAAUCUGUGGCCUGUACAUGGAGCUUGUUCAGCUUAGUUUUUGAUUGCACUGGAAACAUUGCCUGCUGCAGGAGGCUAUCUGACACAUACUAAUGACAAAAAUAAAUCUGCAGGUUCUUGGUGAAUCCUGUGGGAUGCUUGUUUGAAGGGUUGCAGAGUUUAAAGGAUGAAUUGUUUUACACACAGAUAUGAUUGUAAAAGAUACAUUGCCUGCUGUAGGAGGCUUCCUCUGAAAUAUUUUAAUGGUUGUUCUUGGUGAAUCCUGUGGGAUGCUUGUUUGAAGGGUUGCAGAGUUUCAAGGAUGAGUCGUUUUACACACUGACAUGGUGUUAUCACCAGAUGUAGUAUGGAGCACCACUAUUUAAUCAGGAUUGCAAUGUGACAGCCUGAAAUUUCAAGCGGAGCAGCGUGUCCGAAAGGCAGAGAUUACCCGCACGCCGAAGAAUUGGCACAGUCGAAUGGUGUGCUUGGAUAAGAAGAUACCUAGAUACCUUCCGUCGACGGCUACUUUUAAGGCUUUGGGAAGGUCAAAAUUACUGCCUUGUUUUAACUUUCAAUAAACUGUAAAACGUC